AUUUAGCCAUGUGACUUGCUGGAGACAGAAUACAGGCGGAAGCGGCAGCAGCCAGCUCCGGAGUCGCUGAGCCUCCCCUUUCCCACCUCUUGAGCAAUUGUCCUUGGCCAUGAGAAUACCAGAUAGCGGGAGUCCUUCAGCCGGACAAAGAAGGAGCAGACAAGGGAGACAGCUGUGUGUGACCCAAAGCUCGGAGGCCAGCCCGACCCAGCUAACCCACGGUGCUGAGAUUGAAUUUAGGGGCCUUGCACGUCUGGUCAAUCACUCCAGGACUGAUCUCCAUCCCUGUCUCUGGUUCUUGUAGUUCGCCGGUCUCACUGAGAAGCACAGGAACUGUCUACCCUGUGCUGUGAGGACAGGAACUCUUAUUGGAGCUCAUCAAAUAGUCUGCAGGGUCCCGAGUGGCCUUUCUGCCUCUGCCCUGUCCUCUCAGUGAUGGCAGCCUUGAAACUGUCUUCUGAGUUAUGGCAGCUACGCCCACAGGACUGGGUGACCCAGUGGGCUGCCAAGGCACUAGACUCCCAGGGUCUUCUUCCAGCUACCGUUUUGUAAAUGCUUGUAUGCAUUUAUCAAACACUUCUAUGUAGAGUUCGCCCUGUACCAGACACCAUGUGAAGUAUUAUAAUAUCCAAAUCUGCCUACAACCACCGGAUAAAUGGUUAGAGUCCCCAUUCUACAAACGGAGAAACCGAGACACCACGAGGUUGUGAAGGACCGGAGCGGGGAUUCAAACCCAGGAGGUCUGGCUCUCCUACCUCUCCUCGCUCUCCUCGCCUCAAGUUAUUUGAUUAAACCCGUUUUUCCUCAACCACAGUGUGAACCUGUGAAGCUUGCUAUGCUGUUUUCUAUCCUCAGGGGCAGGCUCAGUGUCUGACGCACACUGGGUGCUUUACGGGUAUUUGCAGGGACGAACAAACAGUAGACAACAGCCACCGAUUGCUGUAGUACCUUCUCCUUGCAGGGUUCCAGGACUCGAUACAGCUUGGUUCUUUCUUGAGGGGGGUGUGUGCGUG
rnacentral:lncRNA from 1 species